AACGAACGCUGGCGGCAUGCCUAACACAUGCAAGUCGAACGAGGCCUUCGGGUCUAGUGGCGCACGGGUGCGUAACGCGUGUGAACCUGCCCUUAGGUUCGGAAUAACUCCCCGAAAGGGGUGCUAAUACCGGAUAAUGUCUUCGGACCAAAGAUUUAUCGCCUUUGGAUGGGCCCGCGUUGGAUUAGCUAGUUGGUAGGGUAAAAGCCUACCAAGGCGACGAUCCAUAGCUGGUCUGAGAGGAUGAUCAGCCACACUGGGACUGAGACACGGCCCAGACUCCUACGGGAGGCAGCAGUGGGGAAUAUUGGACAAUGGGCGAAAGCCUGAUCCAGCAAUGCCGCGUGAGUGAUGAAGGCCUUAGGGUUGUAAAGCUCUUUUACCCGGGAUGAUAAUGACAGUACCGGGAGAAUAAGCUCCGGCUAACUCCGUG
rnacentral:rRNA from 1 species